GACGUAGGGGGCCAGUGUUGCUCGGAAUUACUGGGCGUAAAGGGUUCGUAGGCGGUGUGGCAAGUCGGGAGUGAAAUCUCUGGGCUCAACCCAGAGUCUGCUUCCGAAACUGCUGUGCUUGAGUGUGGGAGAGGCGCGUGGAAUUGCAGGUGUAGCGGUGAAAUGCGUAGAUAUCUGCAGGAACACCCGUGGCGAAAGCGGCGCGCUGGACCACUACUGACGCUGAGGAACGAAAGCUAGGGGAGCAAACAGG
rnacentral:rRNA from 1 species